UAUUACCCUCAGAGAUAAAAAGUCUAACAAGACAUUUGAUGCAAUAUUCAUGUCAAUACAGAUAUACUUCAAAGCAUACAAGCUUCAUUCCAAGUUUUUCUUUUUCUUUUCUUUUAUACUUUUUACGUUUACUGAUUACAUAUUAUAUUUAUUACAUGCAAGUCCAUCAAGUGUCUGUAAUUCAUAUAGCAUGCUUGAAAAC
rnacentral:lncRNA from 1 species